CGGCCUUGACAUACUAAGAACUUUCCAGAGAUGGAUUGGUGCCUUCGGGAACUUAGAUACAGGUGCUGCAUGGCUGUCGUCAGCUCGUGUCGUGAGAUGUUGGGUUAAGUCCCGNAACGAGCGCAACCCUUUUCCUUAUUUGCCAGCGGGUCAUGCCGGGAACUUUAAGGAUACUGCCAGUGACAAACUGGAGGAAGGCGGGGACGACGUCAAGUCAUCAUGGCCCUUACGGCCAGGGCUACACACGUGCUACAAUGGUCGGUACAAAGGGUUGCUACCUCGCGAGAGGAUGCUAAUCUCAAAAAGCCGAUCGUAGUCCGGAUCGCAGUCUGCAACUCGACUGCGUGAGGUCGGAAUCGCUAGUAAUCGCGGAUCAGAAUGCCGCGGUGAAUACGUUCCCGGGCCUUGUACACACCGCCCGUCACACCAUGGGAGUUUGUUGCACCAGAAGUAGGUAGUCUAACCGCAAGGAGGACGCUUACCACGGUGUGGCCGAUGACUGGGGUGAAGUCGUAACAAGGUAAGCGUAGAUGA
rnacentral:rRNA from 1 species